rnacentral:rRNA from 1 species
CCUGGCUCAGAUUGAACGCUGGCGGCAGGCCUAACACAUGCAAGUCGAACGGUAGCACAGAGAGCUUGCUCUCGGGUGACGAGUGGCGGACGGGUGAGUAAUGUCUGGGAAACUGCCUGAUGGAGGGGGAUAACUACUGGAAACGGUAGCUAAUACCGCAUAAUGUCGCAAGACCAAAGAGGGGGACCUUCGGGCCUCUUGCCAUCAGAUGUGCCCAGAUGGGAUUAGCUAGUAGGUGGGGUAACGGCUCACCUAGGCGACGAUCCCUAGCUGGUCUGAGAGGAUGACCAGCCACACUGGAACUGAGACACGGUCCAGACUCCUACGGGAGGCAGCAGUGGGGAAUAUUGCACAAUGGGCGCAAGCCUGAUGCAGCCAUGCCGCGUGUAUGAAGAAGGCCUUCGGGUUGUAAAGUACUUUCAGCGGGGAGGAAGGUGUUGUGGUUAAUAACCGCAGCAAUUGACGUUACCCGCAGAAGAAGCACCGGCUAACUCCGUGCCAGCAGCCGCGGUAAUACGGAGGGUGCAAGCGUUAAUCGGAAUUACUGGGCGUAAAGCGCACGCAGGCGGUCUGUCAAGUCGGAUGUGAAAUCCCCGGGCUCAACCUGGGAACUGCAUUCGAAACUGGCAGGCUAGAGUCUUGUAGAGGGGGGUAGAAUUCCAGGUGUAGCGGUGAAAUGCGUAGAGAUCUGGAGGAAUACCGGUGGCGAAGGCGGCCCCCUGGACAAAGACUGACGCUCAGGUGCGAAAGCGUGGGGAGCAAACAGGAUUAGAUACCCUGGUAGUCCACGCCGUAAACGAUGUCGAUUUGGAGGUUGUGCCCUUGAGGCGUGGCUUCCGGAGCUAACGCGUUAAAUCGACCGCCUGGGGAGUACGGCCGCAAGGUUAAAACUCAAAUGAAUUGACGGGGGCCCGCACAAGCGGUGGAGCAUGUGGUUUAAUUCGAUGCAACGCGAAGAACCUUACCUGGUCUUGACAUCCACAGAACUUUCCAGAGAUGGAUUGGUGCCUUCGGGAACUGUGAGACAGGUGCUGCAUGGCUGUCGUCAGCUCGUGUUGUGAAAUGUUGGGUUAAGUCCCGCAACGAGCGCAACCCUUAUCCUUUGUUGCCAGCGGUCCGGCCGGGAACUCAAAGGAGACUGCCAGUGAUAAACUGGAGGAAGGUGGGGAUGACGUCAAGUCAUCAUGGCCCUUACGACCAGGGCUACACACGUGCUACAAUGGCGCAUACAAAGAGAAGCGACCUCGCGAGAGCAAGCGGACCUCAUAAAGUGCGUCGUAGUCCGGAUUGGAGUCUGCAACUCGACUCCAUGAAGUCGGAAUCGCUAGUAAUCGUAGAUCAGAAUGCUACGGUGAAUACGUUCCCGGGCCUUGUACACACCGCCCGUCACACCAUGGGAGUGGGUUGCAAAAGAAGUAGGUAGCUUAACCUUCGGGAGGGCGCUUACCACUUUGUGAUUCAUGACUGGGGUGAAGUCGUAAC